rnacentral:rRNA from 1 species
AUACGGAGGGUGCAAGCGUUACUCGGAAUCACUGGGCGUAAAGCGCGCGCAGGCGGCUAUUUAAGUUGGAUGUGAAAGCCUACGGCUCAACCGUAGAACUGCAUCCAAAACUAUUUAGCUAGAGUGUGGGAGAGGAAGAUGGAAUUAGUUGUGUAGGGGUAAAAUCCGUAGAGAUAGCUAGGAAUACCAAAAGCGAAGGCAAUCUUCUGGAACACUACUGACGCUGAGGCGCGAAAGCGUGGGGAGCAAACGGGAUUAGAAACACUAGUAGUCC